CGCGCGACUCGCCUCCUCCCACUGUGAGCUUCGUCUUAACUAAGUUCCACUCGGGGGAGGCCCAAGCUCAUCAACGAACUCAGUCCGGGUUCCGGGGUACACACUGUCAAACCGAUACCCCAUUCACUCCAAUCCCGGAAGGUCCAGCCCACCGGGAGCUGGUUGGUGGCCCAAAAGAAAGCCUGUUACAGGAAAGUUUAGAAGAGCAAGGGGACCAGACCAGACACCAAUAAAGACAGAUGGCCCAGAUGAUGGAACAUCUCAGAAUGCCUCUGUUGCAGUUUGUGAGUUCUGCGUCCGGAACAGCUUCAAGGCUGCUGACUAAGAUGAUCCAGCCUCAUAGACUACUCCAGCCAAGAUUUAACAAUUAUCUUGAUUUUUUCAAAGUUCCCCCAAAAGAUGUUAGCACCUUCAAACAACAGGAAGUAGUAUAGAGAACGACGCCCACAUUCCCAAAAUAUUGGUAAUGGAUAUUUGUUAUUAUUUAAGGUAGGAUGAUUACAAGUUGUUAUCGAUAAUGGUCAGGAAAAAAAACCUAAACAAAGGGGUUAAAUUCAAAGAUCUCUUUGUGAAAGAAAA